UAGUUCCUCUCCUCUUCCCCACCAGGGUCCUCAGCCACACACCCCGAGCCCUGCCUGCGGGCCCAGCCCCCCCAUUUCCGGAGCCUGCGCCCCGGACCCAGCGGGGGCUGAUCCCUGGGAAAGGCCUGGCUUCCUCUUCCUUCCUGUCCCUGCCCCACCUCCGCCGGGCUCCACAGCCGCCGGGAGCCCAGGGCCGAGACGGGAGGAGGGCACCCACCUGGUCGGUGUCACAUGCUGCUUCGGCCCCAGCGUCCCCUCCAGGUCCCGGCGCCGGCCGCAGUCCCCAGAGCCGUCCCCAGCGCAGGCCCGGCCGCCCCACCCGCGGCCCGCCCCUGGCCGCCCGACGGGAGGGAGGGAUCGGGUUCUCCUAGGAAGUUUCAGGUCAUUCAACAUUUAUUCAACCAAAAAUACUAAGUCAGCUCUAUACAAACUAAUGGAAGGAUACAGCUAUGCAAAUAUAGAACACUAAAGUGUUACAUGACAGAUGUAUGAGUGACCCCCAUCUCACUGUGGAAGAUGCAACAGUUGAAAGAAAUGGAGCCUGUGAAAGCACUUUGUGAACCCCAGAGUCUUCCUCCAGACAGGCACGCCAUACAACCGACUACACUUGGGCUCACUGAAUGAAUCACAUUCUUCUGCUGUGCCUCCCAGAGAUUUCAUCAAAGCACCCGCAGUGGCCUUCUGGAGGCUCCUCAAACUCUCCACUCAAUGUUUCCUGAAAGUGUCGUGUUUCUCACCUCUAGAUUGUUAUUCUCAUCAGUUACAUUAGUGAAAUGGUGAAAAAUCAGACAAUGGUCACAGAGUUCCUCCUACUGGGAUUUCUCCUGGGCCCAAGGAUUCAGAUGCUCCUCUUUGGGCUCUUCUCCCUGUUCUAUGUCUUCACCCUGCUGGGGAAUGGGACCAUCCUGGGGCUCAUCUCACUGGACUCCAGACUCCACACCCCCAUGUACUUCUUCCUCUCACACCUGGCCGUCGUCAACAUCGCCUAUG